rnacentral:rRNA from 1 species
CAAUAGCGUAUAUUAAAGUUGUUGCAGUUAAAAAGCUCGUAGUUGGAUUUCUGGUUGAAGCGGCCGGUCGGGCGUUGAUUCGUCUGCACUGGAGUCGGUUUUGGCCAUCCUCUAGGAAAGUGCGUCUGGUAUUAAGUUAUCGGGCGUAUGAUCCUGGUCUUUUACUGUGAAAAAAUUAGAGUGUUUAAAGCAGGCCUUCGCCUUGAAUACAUUAGCAUGGAAUAAUAAGAUAGGACUUUGGUCUAUUUUGUUGGUUUGCAGACCGAAGUAAUGAUUAAUAGGGAUAGUUGGGGGUAUUUAUAUUCCGAUGUCAGAGGUGAAAUUCUUAGAUUUUCGGAAGAUAAACUUAUGCGAAAGCAUUUACCAAGGAUGUUUUCAUUAA